rnacentral:rRNA from 1 species
ACGCACGCUGGCGGCGUGCUUCACCCAUGCAAGUCGCACGGAAAGGCCCUGCUUUUGUGGGGUGCUCGAGUGGCGAACGGGGGAGUAACACGUGAGUAACCUGCCCUUGACUUUGGGAUAACUUCAGGAAACUGGGGCUAAUACCGGAUAGGAGCUCCUGCUGCAUGGUGGGGGUUGGAAAGUUUCGGCGGUUGGGGAUGGACUCGCGGCUUAUCAGCUUGUUGGUGGGGUAGUGGCUUACCAAGGCUUUGACGGGUAGCCGGCCUGAGAGGGUGACCGGCCACAUUGGGACUGAGAUACGGCCCAGACUCCUACGGGAGGCAGCAGUGGGGAAUAUUGCACAAUGGGCGGAAGCCUGAUGCAGCAACGCCGCGUGCGGGAUGACGGCCUUCGGGUUGUAAACCGCUUUCGCCUGUGACGAAGCGUGAGUGACGGUAAUGGGUAAAGAAGCACCGGCUAACUACGUG